UGGGGUCAUCAGGCACCACCUUGGGGAAGGCUGGGCCGCUUUCUCCUGCUCCCCGGGCUUCCACUGAUUCCCUGUCCUCUGCUGCCAUCCAGAAAACUACAAUGCUGUCAACCGCAGCCAAAGGACAUCUUUUGAGGUGCUGACAUUUGGUCUCGCUGGAUUCCACAGGAGGCUGACUUCCAUGUAGCUGCAUCAAUUUCAGCAAAGCAGUAUAUUCUAAAGCAAAAUGGAAUCUAUGACUCCCAUUUCCCCUGCCCUGAGAAUGCCCUUGUGAGGCCAUUGAACGCAGGUACCACUAUUGCCUGACAAGCAAGGAACCUGAGUGACACAGGGAGGUGAAGAAAUUGGUGCCCGGGUGUGAAGGACAUGAUUAGUUGAGAUGGGUCUGGAAUGCAGGUUCUCAGCUCCUAACAUGGUCAUGUUAGACCAUAAGGAUGGCCUUUGGAUCUCCAACUCUAAGAGGUGGGCUUGCAGGUGGUGGUGCCUCUGCUAUUAGAACUGCCCCCAGCUGGCCUUUUGGAGCAUGCCGAAUGAGGUGAUGGAAGGUCUCCCCUCACAUUGUUGAAGUUGCUCUCAAAAAUCCUCCUUGAAUGUUUCAUCUGAUACUCUUCUUUAGUUUCACAGCUCAUUUCUUUGGAGAUCCUUCCCAGCUCUGUGGCCACCUCUCCAGUUGACUGGAAGCUUCUCUCCUGCCACGUCUCGGCAAGUCUUCACCCUUA